rnacentral:rRNA from 1 species
CAAUAGCGUAUAUUAAAGUUGUUGCAGUUAAAAAGCUCGUAGUCGGAUUUCGGGUCGUGGCCGUCGGUCUGCCAUUGGGUACGCACUGGCGGCUGCUUCCUUUCUGCGCGCGCGUGCUUUCGGGGAUGCGCGCGCACGUUUACUUUGAGAAAAUCAGAGUGUUCAAAGCAGGCCAUUGCCAUUGUAUGUGUUAGCAUGGGAUAAUGGAAUAGGACCUUGGUGCUAUUUUGUUGGUUUCGAACGCCGAGGUAAUGAUUAAUAGGGACAGUCAGGGGCACUCGUAUUCCGUAGAGAGAGGUGAAAUUCUUAGACCCACGGAAGACGAACUACUGCGAAAGCAUUUGCCAGGGAUGUUUUCACUGA